CGCGUGUAGCUUCCCCUGACUCCUGAGGAGGGUCGGGUGCGGUUACCUGCAGGCCGAACGGGAAGGGCCGAUUGUAAUUCUGAACCGUCAGUGCUGUACUUGGCUGUCAUCCGGAAAUUUAUUCCGAAACAAGCUGCUCUACAAAGCUUUAACUGUGCGUAAUUUAGCUGCCUCUCAUUUGGAAGCCUACAAUGUCAUCAUCAUCAUCCGCUCCGUUGUUACCCUCACCACCACCGAGAAGGGCUGGUAGACCCGCUGUAUGUUCUCCUUCAGAAAAAAAAAAAAAAAAAAAAAAAAAAAAAAAAAAAAAGGAGAAAGGGUCUGGAGAGAAGAGCGGCUCGGUCGGGGAUACGUGUAAAAGAACGAAUAGAAGGGUGGGUGUCCCUUAGAGAAACACUGAACGUGUUCUCACAUGCUGAAGUUGCCAGUUUUUUGCUGAAUUUGUAAGUAAACUAACCUUAAAGCAGAGAUGUGUUUCAUGUUGGUGCUUGCCUUUUUGGUAGUUAAAUUUCAUCGGAUUUCUUUGGAUGGAUACGACAAAUAAAAAAACACGGAGGUGAUGCCUGUAAAGAAUCCCAAGUGAAACAAGACAUUAAUGGAAGCUCAGUGGUAAAAGCUGAAGAGGAUGUGUUGGAAACCUCUUCAGCCUGGCUGCCGAAAGCUAUUAUUUUUCUACAUGGAUGCUUUAUUUCUGUUUUCACUUACUCCGAAUGCAAGUUUAGAUUCAUACUCCUCUGAUUGGAGGUUAUGUAGAGCACGUACCCUGGAACUAGAAUCCAAGAUUUCCUGCAUUCCCAGUUCCUGUGACUUUCUUUUUUUCACCGUUAUAUUACCUUCUGGACGGUGGACUGGCUGCUUUGUUAUAAGACUAAUUUAGGUAGAUAGCCUACGUGAGGAUCUCUUGGUGCUGUCAGGUGGCAAGCCACCAUAACUGCAGAAUUCUGGACUGAAUGCCUUUGCAAGCAAAAGAUAGGCAGCAUGCAUUGCGUUAACAGCUCCACUUGGCUCUAGCACAGUGUACUUGCAAAAACUUUUUUAGGAUUCUGAGAAAGUAAUUUAUAACAAUAACUGUGUAGAUGUUGAAUUCAUGUAGGUUUUUUUUUCUUUUCAGUAGUUCUUUUUACUCCAGUGCAUGCCCAGAAAAAAGAGGAUGUAAUAGCAUGCAGUAGGUCUAAAAUACCAUCUUGAAAGUACUGAAGAAUUGGUCUACUCUGUUACAUUUGUUGAGAAAAUGAAUGAUGCUUUAAUUCUGGUUUGGGCUUCAACUCAGUAAAUUUUUUUAUAUAAAUAAGGAGAAGACGAGAGCCCGUAAAGUCAUAUGCCUCUUGAAAUGUGAUUGUUACAUUAGAAGAUGGUAGUCUUUCACAAAUCUGGGCCUCCACAGAUUUAUUUGAAGGUUCAGUGUGUUAAACUCCAAAUUAGAAAACGAAUUAGAUACAGGAGGUUUUAUGGGGCCUUCUUAAUAACCCAUAUAUUAAGUGGAAAAAAUUAGGCUAAAUAAUGCUGGUUUCAGGUAACUGAGUUAUAUGUCUGUGCUUUCCCAGGUUUUCGUUCACCAUAUAGACUGUACGGACACUGUUUUAUGAUGUAUGGUGUCUGAAAUUAUUGAAGGAAGCUGAUGCAUUCUGGAUGUCAAAUAAGUAAAAAUACAGAUAUGAGGAAAGGUAGUACAACUCCAGGUAGGCACUGGGAGAUAUUUUUGGCUGACAAAGCCAAAUUGUUUUUUCAAAAUAGCUUUGAUUGUUAUGUUCAGCAUAGCCUAGAAUUUUUAAUUUAUGCCCGUUUGCCCUGCCCGAAAGGAAUAAGCCAGCUUUAUGUAGUUGACAGCUUAGCUUUUCAGGCUCACUGCCUUCUCGCUUUGUCCCUUGCCAUUUGUUCAUGUACAGGUUUGUUUCAAAUUUGUUGAAAGCAGCAAAUUUAUCUUCAGUCAGGUGACACAGUGAAUGAAAUAUUUCCAGCUAUAUAUGAGGUUUGAAUUCCGUAAAGAGGUUUUGGUCAAUUAGACCUAAAAGAAACACCUUUAAAAUGUUGUUAAUCAUGCCAAAAUUACUCAAUGGAUUAAAAGUCUUAAUUUUUGGUUUGGGGUUUUUUGGGGUUGUUUUAGUUUUAGUAUUGGGUACAAGUGAAAAUCAGUCAUAACAAUGCAAAGUUCUGUUCUGAAAGUACUGAAAAUUGUUACCAAACUACUAAUGUGCUUACAAGUUGCAAAAGUAGUUAUUUAGAAUAGUGAAAUUAACUGACGAUAUGCCUGCCUUUUGAAGAGGACUGAAUAUUAAAUUGUUAUUCUCAUUUAAAUAGCAUAAUAAAAUUUAUUUAAAUUGCAUACCUUAGGUACUUACACACGUUGUCAAAGCUUGUAAGGCAGGUAUUGGUAUUAAUAUUGUACAUGCUAGUGUACAGUAGCUUUUGGGAGUGAUUAUUGAGUUGUCAGCCAAGCAUACUUGCUGUAAUUUUGGGGUAGUUAUAAUAAGUUAUUUCAGAAAAUAUUCUUUUGUUAAAUUUCACACAGGGCAUAAGAAUAAACUGCAGAAAAUACACCAUAAUUAAAUAAUCUAAGAAUUAUAUAUAUCUGUUACCCACAGAAAAGAAAUUUCCCUAGGUGGUCCAUUCCUAUUACUUUUGAGAAUGCUUUCUCAUUUUCUAAGGAAGGACGGAGGUCAAUCUCAAGAGUAUUUCCUUACCUGUAAGAGCAUUGGGUUUAUAUAUAAUAGCAUUAAUUUUCAUUUAGUAUAAGGAUGGCAGAGAAUGGAAUUCUGUGACCACUCGAUUUCCUUUUGGUGUAUAUUUACAUAUUUUAACUCAUGCUUCUUCACAGCAGUCUUGCGAUACAAACAAGUAAGUGAAUCAAUCAUGGCAGCUUGAUUCCUGACUGAUUUAAAUCAAAAACCCUUAUAUCCUUCAUGUGGAAACCAAAAGGAUAAGGAACAAAUUCCUUACUGAUGUCAUGUGUGUGUAAUGGAUGGCUAGGUUUCUGCAAUGUACUCCGCUAAUGUAACUCUACUAUUAUUAUAAACUUCGGUACAAACACUAUUACAUGCAACAGGUUUGUUAUUUGUUACCAGCUGAAGUAGAUACCAAUAGAUCGGCAAAUGCCCAUGCCUUAUAGGUCUGGUGUUGUGAUAACUGUGCUGACCGGCUUGGAAGUGAGUAUGUGUUUUGCUGAAUUAAGUGCAGUCCACGGUAGCUCUGAAAGUAUGUCUGUUGAUGAGUUUUCAGACUGUUUCAGAAAAUCUGCAUAGAUUUACAUACAUUUACAAAUCAUAAAAGUAAAUUUAAAACCUUGUUAGGUAGUAGAAAAACUAAGUAAAUUUUCAUUUAGUAAAGGCUUAACCUUUUAUCUUGGUCUAGUAUAAAAAAAUUUCUAAGAUACUGUUUCUGUCUUUUACAUUGAAAAAGGUGAACACGAAGGAUGGGUUAGCCCUUCAUAUAUUAGCAUAUAUUAAUAUAUAGCAUAUUAGCAUAUUUGUACAGUAUUUAAGUAUAAAGCUAGAAAAAUAAUACAAGGAAUCCUGUAAUUGCUUGUACAGAGACUGCAUGUCUGCAUCUUUUUUGCUGUAUUGAGAAUGGCAAAAGUUAGUAUUGUCACUAAGGUUGCAGAUUCUUCAGUUAGUUAUACUCAGUUUAAGUUUCAUUUUAAUAAAAGGAGAACAUAAACAAUUUGGGGGAAAAAAGAAGUUAACAAAAGUUUGAAAUGUAUUGGUAUGUAAUCCCUUCUUUUCUCUAUAAAUGUUAACUGUUUUUUUACUAAAAGCUCAAGAAUUAAGGAAUAUCAACAUCCAUUUGGGACUUGACUGUAAUUGCAAAGAAGCGUGAUUGGGCAGCUGAAUUCAGCCAUCCAUAAAGGCUGAUGGAUGUGCUGAAACCACAUGACAGCUUAAAACUGUCCCCUUGGCAGUUGUAAGUGGACCAAACUGUAUAUUAACAUAGCUAAAACAUGUCCAUCUGUUUUUAAAACAGUAUUCACUUCUGAAAAGUGAGCAUUCAAUAAUAAAUGGUAGCAUUCUGCUCUAGAGAUCUUAUAAUGGAGUGUUAUUAUAGCUUUAGCCCAGCAGUUUUAAGGGGAAGGUAAGUUUUUGCUACUUUUAAUGCCAAUUACGCCUGUGGGGCGGGGGGGGGGGGGGGGGGUAGCAUGCUGAGAAGUGUAUUCCAGGCGGGAGGCUCCCUGGGUCCCACCAGGGAGAGUCCCUCACUGUGCUUUACUUGUCAGAUCCGGGGACUUAAGUUGACUUACUCAAAUGUAACUGGUCUUGUACAAAAACUUGCUUUCUCUAUAGGAUGAAGUGAAGUACAGCUGUUUGCAGCUUUAGACCAGUGAUUUUUUGUUGUUGUUUGGGGGUUGUUUGGGGUUGUUGGUUUGUUGUUGCUGUUUUUUCUUCCCCAAAGUCUGUGCUAGUCUCCCUCUUACUCUGCUGGAUUUUCUUGACCCUCUUUUUCUUUAGCUCAUUGCUUUGAAAUGACUGCCAGACCUAAAUCCACAUAUGGGCCUUCUUCUUAGCUCCAAUUUUGCAACAGCCCUCCACACCACAUUUAAAUUUAGCUUCAUGCCCUGUGCUCCCAAAGGUACUCCCACUGUAAUAGCAGAAUGGCAACACCUUCUGAAUUCCUUUGCUGUUACCCCUCGCUUAUGUUACAGCUGGAAUUGAAAAUAGCUAGUUCACAGGCUUCUUGUAGCACAGUCCAUAACUCGGUUCUAAUCUGAGUUUUCUCUGGGCCAAUGUGACUACCCCUCAUCAUAUAAACCCAAACAGUAGUUCUAGUCUUAGCCUUUAAUUGCUGCCACUGAUCUCAAGAUGUGAGGCAAACUGACAGCAGCAUUUGUAACAUCCUGGUGACUCAUGCUGGUUGCAAGUGUCAGUUUAUCUCAUCGCCUUUUUACCAUUCCUUGUCUUCUUGUGAUGAUCAUGUCUUAGCUGAACCACAAAUUGUCAUAACCCAGUGAAUGAUGGUAACAGCAACAAUUAGUUUAACUGGUCUUCUCCUGAAUUUGUGUGUUAACUAUUUGUAGUCUGAAUCCUUGCCUUACCCACAAAGCCUAAUGCUAGCCUAUCCCAGUGCCACUGAAUGUGUUCUGUUAGUCCAAACUGGUACUGGCUGUCCACCUACCUACUUUCUCAAUUUCUUCCUCACCCUACGCUGUUUUUUCCAGUCUCAGUCCUGCUUAAUCGUAAACGGGUGGGAGGAAGUAAGCAUUCAGAGAACUGGAUAGAUAAGGAGUCUCACUCUUAUAUUUCAAAGGAAACACCUUUUUUCUUCCAUCUCCCAAGUAAGCAUUCAGAUACUUUGCCCUGCUUAAUCUACCCCUUAAAUAUUAUCUCUUAAAUCUUUCUUGGCUCCUACUAGUACUUGUGGUUUCUUACAGUUCUUGUGUUGAGAUAAUUCUAUAUUCAAAACUUUAUAGAUAAUAGGAAUCAUAUUUAGCAUCCACUGAAAUUGUAUGUCCAUGGAGGUAAACAAUGCUCCUUAGUUAGAGUGUAAGCAGUCUCAUCUCACUUAUUCUCAUGUAGCACAGUUCAAAAUGAAAAUCCAAGGUUAAGUGUGUGCUACAAGUAUGUAAGGUGUCAUUCUGUCUUUGCUAGGGGACUAGCAGUGCUUGUAAUGGUAGGCUCCAAUAAAAUGAAAGGAUCUGAAAUUUGCUGGCAAAGCUUCUGUAAAUGUGUGCAAAAAUGAACUGCCACUUCCAAUAUAAAUCUUAUAGUUUAUUUUGCAUGCAUGUAAAACAAGGUAAGUGAAUUUGAGGAGUUACAUAUGUAAAAUGUACACUCUCUUGGUAGCUCUGCAUAUUUUGAAACUUUUCAACCUGUAGUUCCUCAAGCAAUGAGCAAAAUACUAAGAAAACAGACUUGUUUCCAAUUCAUUCACACCAUAUAUAAAGUAAUUUUAAAGUACUUGUUUAGCUGUUAGAAUGGAGAAUUACUAGCGCAUAAAUUUUUUUGUGCAAGUAUAACAACCUUAUUAGCUCAUCACUCAUUAAACAGAUAAGAAAUCAAGCCUGGUAGUCAAAUUAAAUAAAGAGUUCUAAUUAAAAAAUAAUGUUGCUUGGGUUUUGGUUGGGGUUUUUUUCAGGUAGAAAGCAUCUUGCUUCAAAACAAGUCUGUACUUCUUUUGCGUAGUGUUUAAAAUAGUACUGUACUCUGAGUCCAAACUUUCAAGAAGUCACAGAUACAUAUGAUUCGUUUCUUUAAUACACAGUUGAAAUGUUGCCAGAAGCAAAUACAAGUAAAAAACCCUGGCUAACUAAGGACACCUGUCAUUUUUCAUGUAUACAAAAAUUAUACAUUCACAGGACAGUGCAGGCUAGUGUAUUAUCCUUAAACAUUAUGGAGAAGUAUUAAGUAUACAGCAUAGCUUUCAUCUUUCUGUUUCUUAGCAUUGUCUGGCAUUGCAUUCUGGCCUUGUAUGCUUGUUUGAACAAGUGUUUCAUGUCAUAGGCAGUUACCCUGGCAGGGAAAAAUAUCUGUACUCUGACUGUAUGUAAAAUUCAGUUGUUACUGCUUUUUAAUGACAAUUUGGCCGAAGAGUAUGUAGACAACUAUUUUUAUUAACUUACAAUGUCAGGUUUCUCUACAUGACCAGGAACCUUACUUGUUAAAACAUUUCUGAAAUACUAGGUACUACAAGUGAGAACUUCUUUGCCUUUCUGAACAUAGUGCGCUGCUUUAUUUUCUUCUAAUGGUUUUCUAUUCCUACCCUUAUUUUAAUGUCUCAAUACUCUUAGAGUUACCUAGGGAGCCCUGCUGCUAAGAAGGUGGCAAGCUGUGUUUCUGGAUUGAAAUAUCUCCUGUGGAUGAGUUCUGCUCAAUUAAUAAUGACAGAGACCAGAACAGUUUUCCAGAAGCCCUUGGUGAUGCCCAAGGCCUGCAGAUGUUGAAAGCAAUGUUAAGCCUAUUUUUUCUGGCUUUAGUAAAAUGAAAAUUCUGCGAGAAUAUUCUUAGUCAUUGCAUUCCAAAUAUAAAGAAUAGAGAUGUGGAAAGGCUGAGCAGUAACAUGAAACUUAAUGCAAACUCAUGCUUUAGAGAUCAAGAUUGUGAUUAAUGACUAGACUUGUAUAUUAGGACACUUGGAAUAUACCUGUCAGUUUCUCUUCUCUUUUUCUUUUUUUUUUUUCUCCUGUUGUGCUUAAAAAAGAAAGAACACAUGCUACAGCCCUGCCCCUGAAACAUGACAAGGUGGUUGCAUUGCUGUGUUGACCAAGGUCAUGCUGCUGAUUAAGCUGGGAUUCUGCAGGUGAUUAAUGUCUCUGGAGUGUGUGCUGGGAAGCUGUGGUGCUAUUUUUAUCUUAGAAAUACUGUUGAUGAACCAGUACCCUCCUCUAGCAGUUAAAGUAUAGCCAUGAUGAGAUCAACUCUUCUCUGAAAUUGUUUACCAAUUUUACCUCUUCCAUGGAGCUGGAGUUGUUAAUAUGAGUAGUGAGCACAAAGCUGAGUUACUUCAGUCUCCCCAAAGAUGAGACAAUCAGGUUUUUGCCUACAUAGCUAAAAAUCAGGACAUAGGAGUAACUCUGCUGGUUCAGACCAAGAGACUGUCUGGCUCCACGAGUCUGUCACUGAUCAGAGGCCACAGAUGGAUACCUAGGGAGGACUAAAAGGAGCUUGUGCCUGUGAUACUCUCCUCUGUCUUCUUCCCCUGUUAGAGUACUCUCUUAGCCUCUGACUAUUCCUCAGCUCCAGGGAAGUCAAAAGACUGUAGUCUGUUUUGUUAGUAACCCUCAGAAGAUCUCAUUAAGAAACCCUAGAGUCUUCCCUUGAACUCGUACAAAUUCUUUGUCAUCUCUAGCUGGAUGUGGUGUAGUCUCUCAUUUUUCUUUUCCAGGAGGUUUAGUAGUUCAGUAUUGGAUAGGAGGAACAACUAAGGCUAUACCAUUGAGCUGUGUCAGUUACUGGAUUCUGCCAGUCUUCAGCUGCACAUAUUUUCUGAAAUGUGCAGUUUUGCAUCGUCCUCCAAUCCUGGCUUUUCCUCCCCUUUUGCUACAUCAGUGUGUAUACCUAUGCGUAUAAAUUUUGAUGGGCAAACAAACAGUCCUUCUUUGCCCAAGGGAUUAGGAAAGUUGUCUUGCAUCCUUCACACUGUGAAAAGCUCUUGCAGUGUUUUGGGUUUUUUGUCAAAGCUGUUUAAAAAGAAAAAAAGGAAUGGAUCAUUAAUUAGCAGUUUGAUAGUUUUACCUGUUUACCUGUCUAGGGGAGGAAGGAGUGACAUCUAAUUAAUGUUAUUGAUAUUUGCUAGAUCAGUUGCAAUGUCAUAAAAUGCACAGAAUUAAAGAUGAGGCUCCUCAUGCAGCUGAGUUCCUCACUCCUACCUUUGUUAAAUACACUUUUUUGAAAAUACAAAUAGCUGUGCUCUUAUUUUCAAAAGAAUGUUGUAUAAGAGAAUUUCGGGUUCACCUGCAUACAGAGGAGAUAUGUGAAUUAGAUAAAAUGUGAAGAAUAAGUUGUUGUCUCUCACUGUGAUUUUUGAUGCUAGUGUUCAGGAGUUUCUGAAUUACGUAUGUCAUUACACUAAAAGUAGCUGACUCAUUGUGACAUAUCAGUCAGCAGUAGUUAUGUAAGUUUGGAGAAGAGAGCAUUUAAGAUGAAUAUUUUAGAGCAUGUGUGUUUUUAAUACAAGUGACUGAUGUGACUCCCCAAGGUUAAGUAUCACAGAUGAUCUGGGCUACUGCUCUGCUAUCAAUAGAAAAGCUCUGCUCUUAACAGGUAGAAAUCAGGUGACUGAAAAAAGUGAGUGGGGAUUUUUAUCUGGUCUUAUUAGCGAGAGCUGACACAAGGCUUCUUUUCAUGGCUCUUUUUUAACACUCCGUACUCAGAAUAAUAAAGACUUUUGGGACUCAGCCCUCUGCUUUUGCAUUCUCUUUGUAGGUUUGGGCAUAUAUUCAAGUGACAAUGAUACACACAGCCUCUGCUCACACAUAUGUGUUCUAGACCUUGACUACCUUGGUGACCUCCCCAGACUCUCCAGUAUGUCAAUAUCUUUCUUGUUCUGGGGAGUGCAAAACUGGACACAGUGUACUCCAAAUGUGGUCUUUAAAGUGUAGAAUAUUUCAUUUGAUUUGGCUUCUUGAACUGUUCUCAUAAAAUGUCCCAAAUAAUUCCAAUCUUUAAGUCGAAUUUGACCUCCACUGCAGUUACCAAACAGAUUGAGAGUGUGUAUGUGUACCAUCUAUCCUAAUUAAAAGAUCUUUUUUUUUAAUAUCAAGGCUUCAACUUGUGAAUCUACAGCUCUCAGAAGUCAGAUAAUGCUGCAGCAUGGAGGAAAACUAUGUUGUAUAUAAAAUAAAUACUUGGGGAUCAGGCUUAUUCCAGGAUUUUUUUUUAAUCCUCCCUCAUUCGCCCCUCCUGGGCUAUGGUUACCCUCCAAACUUUUCAAAAUAUACUGACUUGAUGGAAGUGAACAAUUUUAUUUAAAGGUGAUGCAUCCAAGCCUCAAUUAGUUCAAUCAUGCUAGAUAAUGUAAAACCACCUGUAAGCAGAGGGCUACUGAGAAUAACAGCUGUCACCUCUGAAGCCUUCAGAUCCUGCAAUACUCAGUCCUGGUACUUGUAACUUAAAAUGCCACACUGCAUUGUGCAGAUAGUAACAUGGAUUGCUAGAAACAAGGAGAUGAUAUCACGACUGAAGUUUACUUUGAAUCAGGGACUUGUUUGUUCCUCCAUACUGUAAGUGGUGAAAUUGCAUUUUUAAUGAAGUUGAUGGCAAAAUACUUACAGACGCGUGGUGUGAUGAAUGGAUGAAGUCUCACCUUUCUUUUAAAGGCUGGGAAGCAAAUAGAGGGAUUCUUGUCUGCCUGUUUGGUAUCUGCAGUUGCUGUUUCAGUUUGCAUCUUUUUCAGUUAUGCUUUUGUAGUGCUGUUGAUGACUCAAAUUCCAAAUACCUCUUAUUAAGAUAAAGUAGCUUUGAGGUGGUGAAUAGGAGAGGGUAGUUGUUAAUCUGGAGAAUGUUUAAAGGAUAUUGCUAGGGAAGAACUCAGCUAGGUGCACGUUAAUGUAGGUAAAGAGGAGUUACAAUAGUUCUGGCAAUAGGCUAUAGCUGCGUAUGUCUCAGUUUUGUUGCUGUUUAGUUCAGUGUUAGUUUAGUGAUUAGGAAACAGAUUUGACCUUACUUUAAUGCACAAAAUUCUGUUUGUCAGUAGGUGUUUUGUUUACUCUGAAAGGGAGACAUAAAUCUUAUUUGUCAUCUCUCAAGUGCAAUGAAAUGCAACUGCAAACAUCAUCUGAACUAAAGGUGGUAGCAGACAGAUAGUAGGGCAAUAGUGUUAUAAAUAAGAUUAGUUUUUAACCUUGGUCCUCAAUCUGUGGAAUGGCUCGUUCUGGCUUUCCAAAAAUGCAAGUUGUAUUUUUUUUUUCCUUUCUCCUUGCCUUGCCUUGGCAGCAAGAGGCUGAUCCCAAAGACUAGGAUAUAAAUGAGAUAGAUAGAUUCCUUUGGAUUAAAGGAAUUUAUGCUGGCCUUAUUUGAUACAAGGAAAUACAGGGGGGUAAGUAAUUGGGCCUUCUCCUUUCCUAUAGCUCAGAAAUUUAAGUGCACAUAUCUGUGAGACCUGCUUGUAACUUUGAUUAAUGAAACAUGCAUCUUCAUGGCCUUUAGGUUUGGUUUGUUCGGCAAACAUAACAUUUAAAUGUGCACUUUCCAUUGAGGUGGUUAGAUGCAAAUUCACUUCCAUUAAACUAAGUGGCUUUUCCUCUUUAUAUAAAAGUCUAAAGAUAGAUUCAGUCUGUGAAUAAUCAUGUGAUGUGUACAGAAAACAAAUAAGGUUUUUCAAAUAUAGCAGACAUGGAUGUACAUUUUCUGGGUCAGAUCUGCUGGCACGUAGGAAUGCCAUUAAGGCAAAAUGAGGAAUAAGUCUACAUUGCUCUAUGCUGGCUAAGCAGACCUCUCUAUUCAUAUGACGUAGUAUGGAGAGAAAUAAAAUGCUUUUAUGCUAAACCAUUAGUUGAACAAACGUAUUUGUAUAGGACUCCUCCAAGAAACUGUGGUUGGCUGUGCUGCAGUUUCCAAGACAACAACCCCCUGAGAGUAUCUCCUGGGUUUUUUUUGUUCUGAGUUACUCUGUGAUCUCCUAAACUGAGUGAAUUAAGGGUCAAAAGCUGGUACAGUUCUAUGAGACACAUUUUUAAUAAUGAAACCAAACUACUUCAGCAGACCAAGUCUAAAGUAAAACAUGUUUUGAUUCUAUAUCAACAGUGCAUUUUGCAGUUCUUGCUAAGCAUCUUUAAAUAAACUAGCUAUCAUUUUUAUUGUUGCCUACAAAGGUAUAUUAUGUGAUGAUGUUUUUAUUUUUAGAAACAUUCUUAUAGCUGAAGUAUGUUAACACAAGAAAUGUCAGGCUUGGACAAUUUCUGAAGCGUUUUCUACAAAAAAAAACCAAAACUGAAAAGCACUCUUUAGAAUAGAAUCAAGGAGAACAGGUUACAGUUUUACAUCAGCUGUGUGGGGCAUUUUAGAACCCUUUCUCCAACUUCUCUUCAGAAACCCAACUCCAUUUACACUCACAUGGAUGCAAACUUGAAUUCAGCUACAUGUGAGAACAGGGCCUGACCUGUCUCUUAUUUUGUAGUAGUAUGACUUAGUAUGUUUGAGUUUGUUUAUGUUUAUCUAAAUGUUACAGCUGUGACAUAGAACAGUAAUAUAGUAAAUAUGAAGAAUAUUGGUAAAUCUGCAGUAGGUGCAAGAGCUUUCCAAAGUGUCAGUUUCUGUGUUGCACUGAACCUGUGUAACAUGAACAUAAAGCACAGCCACUGCUACUUGUUGUGAAAAGGUUUCACACUUCAAAAAAAUGCUGUAAAUGACUGCUUAAAAUACUGGACAAUAUGAGCUUAAAACCACUCUCUACUGAUCUAGCAGCACUGUCAUUCUUUACUGAGGACAAGUGUUUAAACCAUAACAUCAUGGAAUUAUGUUAUUCUUAUUUAAGAUUAUAAAUUUGAAACAUUUACUAUCACUUGAUUAAAUUAAUACAGUGGUGUUCUUCACGGCAGAACUUCUUAUCAAACACCUUACUGCUCCUGAGUGCUAGGAAAAUAUGUUUGAAUAUAUGAGUGGUGGUAAAAUGCAAUGGAGGAGUUCUUUCGUUUUGUUUCAUCAUUAACUGAGGUGGUAGCACAGUUGUUUUGACUUCACUUCUCGGGUAGGGCUGACAAAGUCCCAUUUCAUAUUGAAUCAUCUGACUCGUGGAAAGCACAUUUAAUACUCAUUGCAGAAGGCAGAGAUUAAAAGUUUCUCAAGCCUAGGGCAAACAGAGGUAGCACAUAAAUUUCUGAUGUUUGGCAUUUCCUGCAUUCCUUCUUUGUUAAAUCCCGGUAAUAUGCUGCCAUUUCUAAAUGUGAAAAAGAAGAAACCAUGUGCUAUGUUCCGCUGGAACAGCAGCUCUUACUGGAAUUGUAGAAAACUGAUUUAUAUUAGCCCCUAACCUCAUUUUUCAAACCUUUUUGGACUUGGACUUAACAGUACUAUGCGGUUGUGGUUUUUGGAGUAACUCAUCAGUGCUUAUUUUCAGAAGCAGUCACUCAAGGCUUUGAUCUUGCAGUGAAAGUACUAAAUGCUAUUUUAGUUCAGUCUGAAAAAAAAAGUGAAGAAUGAAAAGGCUUUUAUGGUAAAAAGCCCUUGCACUUCACCUAUUUUAUUUUAAUAUCCUGAGUUUGGCUGUGGCUGCUGGAAGAUGAUUUGAUGUAAAGACAAGAACAAUUACAAGAUAAUCACUUUUUAACAUACAGAAGCCUGCCCUCAGACACUAGGGGGUGCAACAAAACCUUAUUGCUGAUGCCUUUAGAGAUUUGACCUACCUUGGCUUGAAGCUGUAGUUGUAGAUAGAUGGAUUUCCUCUAUGUGCUGUGGGAAGAAAAUGCUGUGGCUAGAAUACACUCCUUUUAAUGAGAAUGCUCUCUAGAAUACUACCCGUUGAUUUACAAUACGAGAUGAUGUUUCAAUCCUAGUCUUAAAAACAGAGAGACAGAAAAAUAAGCAGUAUUUUGCAUAUUGCCCAGUGCCUCUCCUAUAUUGAAAUAAUUUAUUGCCUAUUUUUCUGCACUGAAUAGCUUCGAUUGUAGGCUUAUUUACUGAUGGAUGAAGCGGUGAUGAAGAUGGUAUUUGAAAUACUGCUUUCCCUAUAUGUUUAGGAACUGUAUGUUUGUUAGGGAAUACUCAUCAGUGCCUGAAACACAGGAGAGUUUUCAGUUAACAGUGAUGAAUGCCAUACAGAGUAGGCCUGAGUCUGCCACUGUUCCCAGGUGCUCUUCACUUAAAGUAACAACUGAAUUUGGUGUGUAAUAUUGAGCUGGGUCUUUGGGAAGGAGAAGCACUGUGGGUAAAAAGCCAUGCGUAGUUGUGGAGGAGUGGCCCAGAACAGUGCACUCACAGCAGCCACACUAGUGUGAGAAGGUGAGAAGGGUGCAAUGAAUGACAAAGGGGUGGGCUAUAGCAUGCAUUUUAGGGGCUGUUGUGGUACCGCUGCACAUUCUAGAACCUUCCGCUGGAAAAUUUAGUUCACACCAUUGCAGAAAGUAGCAUAGUCACCAUCGUACUAUGGCUAAAAUGAACUCCCCAUGCUUUCUUGACUACAGAAACUUUUAUUUUUGAGCUCAUGGCCUGACAGUUAGCUGCUUGCUGCUAUUCACAGAAUCACAGACUGGUUGAGGUUGGAAGGGACCUCUGGAGGUCAGCUGGUCCAACCCCCUGCUCAACCAGGGCCACCUAC